rnacentral:rRNA from 1 species
GGAUGAACGCUGGCGGUCUGCUUAACACAUGCAAGUCGAAACGAACUCUUCGGAGUGAGUGGCGGGACGGGUGAGUAACGCGUGAGAAUCUGCCUGGUGGGGUCGGGGACAACCACUAGGAAACGGUGGCUAAUACCGGAUGAGACCGAAAAGGUAAAAGUAUUUUAUUCGCCCACAGAUGAGCUCGCGUCUGAUUAGCUAGUUGGUAAAGGUAAAAGCGUACCAAGGCGACGAUCAGUAGCUGGUCUGAGAGGAUGAGCAGCCACAC